GAAGACCUUGGAGAAGGAGACAGAACAGAAGAGGCUCCGAUCUGGACGGCCACCAGGAAGCAACCCUUGAGGAGAGGGGGGGUUGCUGUCAUGGUCCGUGGGAGCAGCUGAGGGUUUUUUUGCGUUUUGUUAUCAGGAUGGUUCCCUAGCUACUCUCCUUGAUGGAGCCACCAGUGUCGCACCCGACCCCCACCCACUGUCAGUUACAGGAGGACUCAUCCCUAGUUUGUUUACUCACCUACUGUGCACUGGCUUCCUUGUUCCACCUCCAUUGUCAGUUCUUAUUAAGGAAAUCAUCCUCCAGUCACUUCAUCUGCCUGUCCUCCUGCCAGCCCAGAUGCUCUUGGCAACUCAGGGAACCAUUCCUCCCCUCUCUGGAUUGUCCCAAGGAAAUCCUCCCCAAAGCUCUUCAGCCUGGCCCUCCAUAUAAGCCAAUAGCACCUUUGUCAGAUUCUCCUUACUCAUCUGCUCCCUUACCUGCCAGUAUCUUCUCCCUCUGUUACAGAGCUCCCGUGGUCCCGAUCACGGCCUCUCAGGACAGCCUUCCAAAUGAGCUGUGCCUGUCCCUCUGGCUCCUGCUUCACUCUUGUUAUCCUUGUUUUGCUCCCGUU